UACGGGGGGGGCAAGCGUUGUUCGGAAUUACUGGGCGUAAAGGGCUCGUAGGUGGCCAACUAAGUCAGACGUGAAAUCCCUCGGCUUAACCGGGGAACUGCGUCUGAUACUGGAUGGCUUGAGUUUGGGAGAGGGACGCGGAAUUCCAGGUGUAGAGGUGAAAUUCGUAGAUAUUGGGAAGAACACCGGUGGCGAAGGCGGCGACCUGGUCCGAUACUGACGCUGAGGCGCGAAAGCGUGGGGAGCAAACAGG
rnacentral:rRNA from 1 species